CACGUAGGGACCAAGCGUUGUCCGGAUUCAUUGGGCGUAAAGAGCUCGUAGGCGGUUCAGUAAGUCGGGUGUGAAACCUCCAGGCUCAACCUGGAGACGCCACCCGAUACUGCUGUGACUAGAGUCCAGUAGGGGAGCGUGGAAUUCCUGGUGUAGCGGUGAAAUGCGCAGAUAUCAGGAGGAACACCAGCGGCAAAGGCGGCGCUCUGGGCUGGAACUGACGCUGAGGAGCGAAAGCGUGGGGAGCGAACAGG
rnacentral:rRNA from 1 species